AAGACGGAGGUAACAGAUUGCACAAACACAUUGAAACAUUUUCAGCUGUUCACUAACACUGUUACAUUUUCUGGAAUUUUCAAUUGAAUGGGAAAAUACGAGAGACGAAUGCCCAAUUUUUCAAGAAGAAGAAAACGAAAAGCGCAGUUUAUUUUGGUUUUUAAAGAGAGUAAACGAAAAAGAUUAACAACGAGAAAAAGAAAUCAUUUAGAGCGUUUGGAUGCGUAUAACAAAGACGCACCAUUCAAUUAGCCGCAUCACCGGUGACUUGGAGGACGAGCA